GUUGCCUAAAAUUCUAGUACUACUAUUUUUUGGUCAAAAAGCCAGCGCGGUUAUUUCUCCCUCCGUUUUUAAAAAAUUUCCCAAAUCUUUCCCUAUUUUAGUUCCAUUAAGCCUCUAGGUUUUCCCUUUUCAACCGUUCGGCUGAACAACCCUCUUCUCUGGUGCAGUUUCUAGCAUCAAUCCUUCAGUUCCGGCUUGGAUAUAUGCCUUAUUGGUUGUAUCUUCAAGUGUCUUGUGUAUUUCUGCAGGGAUGUAUCCAUUUGGGCGAAUCAACUUUAGAAUGUCACUUCUCAUGUUCAGACCCAUAAGUUAAUGCAACAUCGGAGAGCACAUGUACUUUAUUUUGCUAUUAUCUAGUCGGGAAAUUUGCUAAGGCUGUCUGUCACUUCUACAUUGGGGUAUCUGAAGAAACUACAUGGUAUUUAAUGAAUGCAUCUCUUUUACUUGCUAUGAUCUGAUAUAUUUUUUCUUAUCUACCUCAUGCUUUUGUUUUCCACUUUUGUCAGCAAAAGAAAACUUCCUCCUCUAAUAUGUCUUGCAUCCUAUAAUUAUGGUGGAUAUGCAUGUUUAUAAUGGUACUUGAGAACUUGAAGUACUUACUGAAUAGCAUUACAUCCUGUAGUAAUCUUCUGUUUCUAUAUUUCUAUACGUUGCUAAUGUUGAAUACGGAAACAACCUCUCUAUGUUCCAAGAUAGAGGUAAGGUUUGCGUACACUCAACCCUCCCCAGACCCCACAUUGUGGGAUUUCACUGAGUAUAUUGUUGUUGUUGUUGUUGUUGUUCAUGUUGCUAAUGUUGAAUACGUAUGGAAUUGAUGGAGUGUAUUAUGUUCUCUUUUCUAUCAUAAUUUGGCUUUACAAGAGUUUUUAGAAGUUUACUUAUCUUUGAAAAGGUUUAAAAUAUUGGCUCAUUUUUAAAAGAUGGUAAUGCAACUGAGUGGAAGGCCAGAAGGUGUCCUCUUUGCUCCGUUCUAUGGCUCUUAGGAUAAAAUUAUUCUUUUGCAAGUACUCAACUUCAACGAUGUGAUACUGUUGGAAGGCGAUUCCUUAUAUACCGCGCAUGUGGAUGAUAUUAUAAUACCUCUUUCAUCCAUCCUCUCAUUUCUUUAACCAAGCUUUUAAAAGAUGUUAGUAAUUACUUUCUGAUAGCUAUAUAUUUGCAGAAUAGAGGUUAAGCAAAAUAUUUGAAUAUCAACACAUUGAUCGUUUUGCUAGAGAAUGGAACAUAGAGUAAAAAGCCAUUUGUCACUAUCUUGAGUCAAAUUUGGUCAAGUAAACUCCAGUCCUAUAGGUUCAUCCCGUAGCUGAAGACUACAUUUCACUCCCUAUAUCUGUUUUAGGUAGAUUUCUUCUGUGUGAAUCUCCCCCCUCUUCAUAUAUCUCUAUACAGUUUGUUGACACCCAAUUUUGUCCCUCCUUUAUUUAAUUCUAUUCAUUCAGACGUCUAAAUUUAUUGACGAGCUAGAUACUUUAUUUUCACUGCUAUUUAUAUUCGCUACUUUUAUUUUUCAACAUUAUAAGUAUUACUUUACCACAAAUUUUAAAUGAUUCGUCAUCAUUUUAUUUUUUCGGGUUUGGACUCGUUAAAUUAAUUAUAGAACAACACGUUGUUAAAUCCUUAUUUUUUUAAUAUUAAUUAUUAAUUGUCUUCAUAUAGUAUAUAUUGUACUAGUUGUUAAAUUAGAAGCCCAACAAUAAUAAAAUAGAGGAUGAAGGACCAACAAUUUUCAGCCAAAUUAAUGACUUAAAAUACAAUGUUAUUCCCCUACCCAAAUAAUCAGCCCACAUUUUAAAUACCCAGCCCAUUACCCAUCGAAAUAAAUCAGCCCACCAGUCCAUAUUUGAUUAUUUUCGGACCAGCCCACAUAUUUUAUCCGACCCGGUCCAGCCCACUUAUUCUUUUUGCCCUAAAUCUCUUCCUCUCUCUUUCUCUUACUCUUUUCCGCCUCUCUCUCUCUUUCUCUUCUUUCUUCAUUUCCUCCGCCUCAUCUCCCUCUCUCUCUAUACUCUCCCUUCCCCACACAACGCCGCCGCACCCCACACCACGCUCCCCUACCCCACCUCACUCCUCUCUCUACCCUACCUACGCUCCCCCCGCUCCUCUCUUUCCCUUUUUCAUCAUCACCGCCGCACCCUGCUCCUCCACUCACCCAAUUUCCCCCAUAAAAGGAGGGACGACUCCACCUUCUAGAGGGGGAUUUAAAAAACGAAAACACCAUAUUCCUUUUUUUUAGCAAGAAACAAGAUAAAACAAAUCGAGGAAGAGAAAAGGAGGGGAUUUUUCGGAGCGAAACCUAAUCAACUUUAGACAAAGGGGGACGGACCCGAAAAUCCCAAGAUCUGGAACCCCAAAAAUUCCCCUAUAGCUUACAAGUUUUAAUCGCCUCGAGUUUCCCAGGAGAGAAGCAAUUUUACUCAGCGUUCUUGAAGAAAACGAUUACUGAGCAUUUUUAGAGGAUCCAGAAAUCCAUAGCAUCUGUUACAAUUUUCAUUUUUUUUAUUACCAUUCUCAACCCUAAGACCGUUUAAACAUUCAUUUUGUCUUGGUGGACUUUAGCCACGACAGAAAUCUUCGAACUCUUUUUGGGUGAGUUUCUAAUCUGUUCCUAACGAGUGUAGAUUCGAGACCCCGACGGCUCGUUCACUGCUCACAAAAAAGGUAGACCCUGAUACAUUUAUUGCUCUUAAUCUUUAGUUUCUGCUUUAGUUAAAAUUCUGGCUCAUUUCCGUCUUCGUUGUAGUAGCUAGAUAAUUUCUCGGUUUUCCUGUUAUUUGCUUGAUGUUUGAGUGCUGUUAGGAUAGGGUGUUAAUCGCCAAAUAGUGAAUUUUGAAAGACGUCACUGUGAUUUGGGUGUUUUAGAUUAAGUUUCCAGGAUUUAGAACCCAUUUAGAGUCGAAUAUACAUAGGAUAUAUUAUCGGGUUAUCAAGAUAAUAAGAAGAUAUACCUUCGACAUACAUUUGAUAUACACACCAUGGUGUGUAUAUCUUAGGUAUAUUACGCAUAUGAUUAGAACAGGCUAGUACCGUCUCUCUUUUACUCUAUUUAUUCAAAUGAUAUACCCUGUCGGGAAUAUAAUCUGCUUAGAUUUAAGUACGAUAAAAUGAUCAUACAACAUGUCGAUAUUGGUUGUUGAAUUCUGUUUGGUUCUAAAUCCGAAUUCUGUAUUGAGUUUCAUUAACAAGUCAUGUAUUAAACCUUGUUCCAUUUUCAGUUGGUCAGGUUGUAGUUUAGUGACUUAGCAGGAUUGUGCAUAUUUUGAUUAGUUUGGAUUAGGCACAUUCAUGUUUUAAUUAGUUUAACUUCGGUUUUUAGUAACGUCCAUACGUUCACAUCUUAGUUUAGUUUUUCCAGUCUAAUAGUUAACAGUCCUACAUGUUUAUGUCUUAAUUUGGUUUGCCUUAAUUUCAGUUUAUAAGUGCUUACAUGUUCACACAUGUCUGUCAAUUCAGUCAGUUCGAUUGUGUGUGUUUCGUGGUUAGUCAAUCUAGUCUUAGUUAGUAUCUUGAUAGUAUUCGUAUAUGUUUUAUGUUUAAAUAAUGGCAGUUUAAUGGUCGAUAACACAGUUGCUGCUAAUACGAUUUUCAAAUCUGUUUCAAAACCUUCUUAAUAACAUUUUCCCCUUUAUUCUAUGCUUGAUAUAUUGCCCCUCGUGUUUGAUCUAAAUUUGCUUAAAAUGGGAGCUUCAGCCUAUUUAUAAGCUACUGCUUCUAUAGUAUCUUCAAUCUGUCGUUGGGAUCUGAAAUCUGUGAAUUCUGUUUUUUUUUUUAAAUGAUUGUUUUAACAUUUUUAUUCCAUGCUUAAUCUGAGCUUCACUUCAUAUAUCCGAAUCCUUGUGUGUCGGUUUGUUUUAAUUAAUUUAAAUCAUCCCCAGAAUUCAUAUAAGUAGAUCCGGCUUGAUCGUAUAUGAGUAAUAGAUGUUAUAGUUGAAAGAUCCCGAAAUCUUAUAUUGAUCCUAUUCUGUCAUCUUCAGUUUUGUCUUGCUUCUGUUUGGUGUCUUAAAUGAUUGGCUUCAUAUUCUGCUUCGGUUAGAUUUCAGUUCAGAUCGCUUGAUUGAAUUUUUUUUUGAGUAUCUAGCUUUAAUUGGACUGUAGAAUGUUUUUGGCUUGGGUGGUGCUUCCCUUUCCCUAAUUUUGAGGCCAAUCUUCCCAAAGCAGGCAGUAGAUAUAAUCAGAAUUAGUAAACACCAUAGCUGUAGACCUUGGAUUGUAGUAAUGUUCAUUUUUUUUAAGCCACUCGAGACAAGGCUGAGAUAACGCUUUUUAAACACAUGGCUUUCGUUAAAGUCCUGAUGAGUAUCAGUUAAGAGAUACUAGCUUUUCAGUUUUAUGGGCAUUAUGCUUGGGUACUGGCCAACAUGAGAGUAACGCAUAAAUGAUAGAUUCAUCAAAGUUUAAUGAAUUCAUAAGAUUACUCAUGCAUUUGCAAUUUCCCAUAGAGCCUGUUUCUUAGUUUAUUUGAUGUGGAAAUUCGAUUAAUUGUUCACGUUUUUUAAAGUCCUCAUUCGUGUAUAUGGAUUUCCUUGAAUUUAUAAGUUGUAAAUUGAACGAUAGUGCUACUUUACUUUGUUUUCUUAUUUUAUAAAAGAAUUAUAUCGUUACUCUAAUCUUCUAUUAUUUUCUUUGUUUCGCAUGUACA